rnacentral:lncRNA from 1 species
CAAUACCGAAGAAGUGAAAGAUUCACCAAACGUUGUUACUUCGUUAGCUGAAAAGGAAGAGCCAAAGAUCGAAGACACACCAUCUCCACCAACCGUUGAAGUGCCUGUAACUGUAACUGAAGAAACAUGCAAGGAAACCAUAACUGAACCUAUUACUGUUGAAGACGUGAAGAAGGUUGAAGAGGAAGAAACCCCGAAGACUGAAGUGAUCGUUGAGGAUAUAAAAACCGAAGUUCCAGCCGUUGAAGCAGAAGAAAAGGUAACCGAACCCAUUGCAGCCGAAGAAAACGUAACUGAACCCGUUGCAUCAGAAGAAAAGGUCACUGAACCCAUUGAAGCAGAAGAAAAGAUAACUAUUACACCUGUUGAAGCAGAAGAAAAGGCAAUUGAAACCGUUGAAGCAGAAGAAAAAGUAACUGAACCUGCUGAAGUAGAAGAAGCAAAGAUUGAAGUAAUGGCUACCGAUAACGAAACCAAAGUGCCUUCAGUUGAAGUAGAAGAAAAGAUAACCGAACCAGUUAACAUUGAAGAAAAGCCAACGACUGAGGUGGCGGCAGUUGAAGAAACCCCAGUUACUAAAGUUGAAUCGGAAGAAAAGAAGGUUGAAGCAAUAUCGGAAGAGAUAAAGACCGAGGAGACUAAAGAUGGCGUUGAAGAGGUGGUG